rnacentral:rRNA from 1 species
GACAGAGGUGCAAACGUUUGUUCGGAAUUACUGGGCGUAAAGCGCGUGUAGGCAGCUCGGAAAGUCGGGUGUGAAAGCCCUGGGCUCAACCUAGGAAGUGCACUCGAAACUUCCGAGCUGGAGUGCUGGAGAGGAAGGCGGAAUUCUCGGUGUAGAGGUGAAAUUCGUAGAUAUCGAGAGGAACACCGGUGGCGAAGGCGGCCUUCUGGACAGUUACUGACGCUGAGACGCGAAAGCGUGGGGAGCAAACAGG